rnacentral:tRNA from 1 species
GGGCGAAUAGCUCAGUGGAAGAGCGCCUGUUUCACACGCAGGAGGUCGCAGGUUCAAGCCCUGCUUCGCCCACCA